rnacentral:rRNA from 1 species
GGGCCCGCACAAGCGGAGGAACAUGUGGUUUAAUUCGAUGAUACGCGAGGAACCUUACCCGGGCUUGAAAUGCAGAGGAAUGCGGUGGAAACACUUCAGUCAGCAAUGACCUCUGUGUAGGUGCUGCAUGGUUGUCGUCAGCUCGUGCCGUGAGGUGUCGGCUUAAGUGCCAUAACGAGCGCAACCCUCAUCGAUAGUUACCAUCAGGUCAUGCUGGGGACUCUAUCGAGACUGCCGCCGUAAGGUGUGAGGAAGGUGGGGAUGACGUCAAAUCAGCACGGCCCUUACGUCCGGGGCGACACACGUGUUACAAUGGGGGGGACAAAGGGCCGCUACCUGGCGACAGGAUGCCAAUCUCUAAACCCCCUCUCAGUUCGGAUCGGAGUCUGCAACCCGACUCCGUGAAGCUGGAUUCGCUAGUAAUCGCGCAUCAGCCAUGGCGCGGUGAAUACGUUCCCGGGCCUU